rnacentral:rRNA from 1 species
UACGGAGGGUGCAAGCGUUAUCCGGAUUCACUGGGUUUAAAGGGUGCGUAGGCGGGCAGGUAAGUCCGUGGUGAAAUCUCCGAGCUUAACUUGGAAACUGCCAUUGAUACUAUUGAUCUUGAAUUCUGUUGAGGUGGGCGGAAUAUGUCAUGUAGCGGUGAAAUGCUUAGAUAUGACAUAGAACACCAAUUGCGAAGGCAGCUCACUAAACAGAUAUUGACGCUGAGGCACGAAAGCGUGGGGAUCAAACAGG